rnacentral:tRNA from 2 species
UGCGGGGUCGUCUAACGGUAGGACACGAGACUUUGGAUCUCGGUAUGAUGGUUCGAUUCCAUCCCCCGCAG